AUUGAACGCUGGCGGCAUGCUUUACACAUGCAAGUCGAACGGCAGCGCGGGGCAACCUGGCGGCGAGUGGCGAACGGGUGAGUAAUAUAUCGGAACGUACCCAAGAGUGGGGGAUAACGUAGCGAAAGUUACGCUAAUACCGCAUACGAUCUAUGGAUGAAAGCGGGGGAUCUUCGGACCUCGUGCUCCUGGAGCGGCCGAUAUCUGAUUAGCUAGUUGGUGAGGUAAAGGCACACCAAGGCGACGAUCAGUAGCUGGUCUGAGAGGACGACCAGCCACACUGGGACUGAGACACGGCCCAGACUCCUACGGGAGACAGCAGUGGGGAAUUUUGGACAAUGGGCGCAAGCCUGAUCCAGCAAUGCCGCGUGAGUGAAGAAGGCCUUCGGGUUGUAAAGCUCUUUUGUCAGGGAAGAAACGGUUGGGGCUAAUAUCCCCGGCUAAUGACGGUACCUGAAGAAUAAGCACCGGCUAACUACGUGCCAGCAGCCGCCGUAA
rnacentral:rRNA from 1 species